rnacentral:lncRNA from 1 species
CUGUGGCAGGGAGUGGGAGGGUGAUUAACAGGGGAAGAAUUAGGAAAGAGGACACGCAAGACCACAGUAAGAGAUGGAAAUAAGAGAAUAUUCCUGAUUUCCACUGGAUGACUUUGACUGGUAUGAUUUCAUUCUCUGAAAGUGUUAACCAGGGUGCAGCAUGGCCAGAAACCAUUCCGAGCCUCAUGAAGUGGGCAAGUCAGGUUUGGUCAUUUUUGGUAAUGUCAUUGCAUGUACACAGUUUAAGACAGAGCAUCUGGUGAUUCUCGGACCUUCAAGCAAGUGUCACAUCUCAGGGUGUGAGGUUUGGAGGGCCUCUCGUCAAAACUUUGGAGGGCUCUGUCAGUUUGAAAAGAACAUGACCUUUAAAUUGUAUCAGUAUGUUUGCUGGUGCAUAAGGGAGAGGAAAAGGUUCGUCCUGAUGGAAAACCACUCAGAAGCCAAGGAGUAAUUCAGAGGGAACCAGCCCAGGAAGAAUCAAGAAAGCUGCCCACAGUGUCAUUCUUCAGCUGAGAAAAGAGAGAGUUGACUAACUCCUCGGACUGGAGUGAGGACUCACAGAGGUGGUGAGAAGCCAUCCUCUCUUGAAUGGGGGCUCCCACUGUACAUCUGGCACCCACUUCACAGAUUCUGGGGGAUGUCAACACCAGCACUGCUGAGCUGUGUGACCUUGAGCAAGACAGUUAGCCUCUCUGAACCUCAGUGUCCUUCUCUGUAGGCUGGAGAUUGAUAUACCUUCAUUAUCGGGGUAUGAGAGUGUUAUAAGGUGGGAUGGUGGAACACGCUGACUGGUCUGGGCUAUUCAAGAUCCAUGAACUGGAAGAUGCUUUCUUAUAACUCAGAGAAAAGAGAUGAAAAUGAAUCAAAGAACAGGAAGGAGACAAGCUCAGGAGAGUCACCCUAAGAAGGAUGUGUGGAAGACUUGACUGGAGGAUCAAAAUGUGUCGGGGGAAGGUGUACAAGGAGGAGUAAGGACACAGAUGUCCUGACUUCACACAGUGGGGGAUUAGAAGCCACCAUCAAACACAGAUGAAACAGGAAUAAAAGUAGUAGUACAUUACUUAAGCUUUAAAAGGGUAAGACUCCUGGGAAUUUGGAAGCUGAGACUUGAGGCAAGUAUUUAGGAUUUGCUGUCUCACCUCCCUGCUAUGACAGUCCUUAAUUAAUGGAGAUGAUGGAGAACAGCUUGCUGGGCUGAGUGGCAGGAGCCAUGCAGCUGCUGGGGCUGGAGUGGGUCAGGAAGCUUCAUCAAUCUGGGACACAUGACGUGCUUGGUGGUGGCGGAGCCUGACGCAUCCCUCUUCAUCGACAUUGUGUCAAUAGGAGCAGAGGCAUUUAGCUGUGUAAACACAGAGCUUCAGUGGCAGCACCCUAAAUGCUUAGCUGAUAGAUCCGGAAUUAAAUACAGACCUAGAAACUGGAGUUGGAAAACUUCCUGGCAGCACUCCUUCCCUGCCAUCCCGGUGAUCCCCUUCUGGAUGGAGGGUGUGGAGCUCAGCACAUUCACGUCUGCAGUUCUCAGAGAACCAAGUGUUAAGGAAUGUCAGGGAAGGAAGAAGGCAGCCAGCCAGGAAGGGGAGGUCCUGGCCUGAGCACGCCAGGCACAGAGGGAUAGAGGGUAGGGAGGAAACUGCACCUGUCUCCAACCCUCGACCCCAGCCCCGAAACACGACAUUGGCUGAAACAGAUUAAAAGCAUAAAAUGGCCCAAAGAAAUGGGAGAAGGUUGGCCUCUGGUCGGGCAAACAUGAGGGCAUGAAGAUAUAUAAUGUCCCACACGGGAGGAAACCCUUGCCGGGCCCCUCAGGAUUUAUAACAAGCUCACCUGAAGGAGAAACUUCAGGGGCACUUACACCAUCAGAUACCUAGAAAGGAGCUGUCAUUUCCUCACUGAAGAGUUUGCAAGCAGAUGGUAAAAGGGGUUUAAUUUGAAAACACUGAAACAUCGUGUUCGCUCAAAACCAUGACAAUUGCAGUUUUAUUGUCUCCACUCAGGAAAAUGUGUGUCUGGAUCAUCUUGUGGCCCGAAUGGGGAGAAAAGCAGCACAAGAAUGGAAUAGUACAGUGGCUACGAACACAGAAACCACACUCCAGGCCCAGUCCCCGGCAGUGGCCUCCAGGACCCACUCUGAGCUAGAUCACAUCAGUGAUGGGCUGGCCAAUCUUUAAGGAGAAUGACUCUACUCUUAGGAAGCCAGCAGGUUGGAGGAGGAAACACAUUCAAAUCCCGAGCACAAGGAGCUGGGAGAAGACCGGUUAUGGGAGCGGCAUUCCUGGAAGCUCUGAAGUCACAGCCCCACUGAUGAAAGGAUGUAAGAACCUAAGAGUGGAAACCUGCCCCUGGGAUUCAUAUGGUGUCCCCUCAGGACUCAAACCCUGGUCUGGUAUGCUCAGUAAAUGAAUGAAUAUACCCACUACACCCCAGGUUAUUUUUUUUCUGAAGACAUCGUUUGACACAGAGGGAACACUGUAGAUAAGAAGCCCAACCCUGUUAGAAAGCAGAAGGGUUUGUUUGGGAAAAGGAAACAAAAUAUAUUUUUAAGCUCCAUAAACAUAUGAUGAAUGCUAACAAGGUAUUUUCAAAAUAAGAAGCACAUAGAAACAGCUUAUGUUUCUGGUCAAAUGAAGUUGUAAUCAAAUCGUUAUCAAAGCAAAAAAAAAGAGAGGAAGAAAUCAAAAUGAGUCAGAAGAGUUUUUGGAAAGAUUCAGCAACUUAACUGACUUGAAGAGAUUUCCCUUGUCUCAGUCUUACUGCUGCUUCUAGGGGAACACAGUUUUGCACGGGAAUCGAGGCCAACUUGCAACCCACAGGCACUCUGGAGGAACAAAGAAAGUAUCGCCUGCAACUCACCACGGUCUCUCUCUCUUAAGCCCUUGCUCUUGCCAGAAGAAGUUUCACACAAAGGUUUGCCUGCGAGGCUGCGCUUUCCUCUCCAGAUCAGCAGAAACAACUUACCAGCAGAAAUACUUAAUGACGGAGCCAAGACUGGCACAGCCACGCGGUCACAGCUUUGUUCCCAAGAAGCAAGCCAAUUAGCAGCCCUGGUUAUUAUUUACAUUUCCCGCAAUAUAUCACUAAAAUUGUGUUGAUGAUUUAUCAUUUAUAUUAUGUUAUUGUCAGCAUAAUUUAUUCAGAUCAUGCUGAGAUACCUGGAAAAUUAAGUAAAAGAAAAAGAAGUGGCAUUGAAUUCAUCGGGUUUGAAAGAUAUUUCUCAGCUUCUUUUUUCUCUCCCUCUCUUUCUCUCUCUCUCUCUCUUUUAAUGAGGAUAGAUGUUAAGAAAAAUCAUGGAUCACUUAGCUAUUAAAUUGUUCCAGGAUCAUCUGCAUUAAAAGUUUGCUCAGUAUUCUUUUGUGAGAGAACAUGGCUUGGGCGUUCAUUUGGAUUUUCUUCUGGAACCUUUUCUUUCAGUCUAUUAUUUCAAAGUAAAAAAAAAAGGAAAUGCAAUCCUCUUUAGUUUAGAGCAAAGCAGAGUGGAUUAAUGAGGGGCUGGAGGCUUCUCUUCCAAUUUAUAAAACAUCCUUAUCUUCUGCCUUAUAUUCUAUUUGCCCCACCCUCUGGGAAAUAAUUGUUGCUUAUCAGAAUUAGAGAUAAAAUAUUCCAGUUGUUGAAGCCAUUCAUCAUCUAGGCAUUCUAGAAAAGCAGUUACUGAACUAGAGGCAGCAUUUUGAGCAUCAGAGCUCUGGGUUCUAGUCCCAGGUCUGUCCAGGCUUUGUGUGAUUCCAGGAGUCACUGAAGCUAUCCUGCUUCUGUUUCCCCAGCAGUGGGAUUCAUGGAUGUCCAGGAUCAGGCUUGCUGGGUCUGCCCCAGGUCUUCAGAAUCAGACUGCCUGGGGAAGGCACAUGGAGGUCUUUUUGACAGGUGUCAUAGGUGAUACUUCUACACACUUCAGUUAGAAAAGUCAUUGGGCUUACAUAUGCCUGCAGCCACUUCCAGCUCCAGUCUUCCUAGAGUUCUACGGACUCUAAUUAUAUGGCAUGUUUUGCAUAUUUCUGAAACUUCAUAUGGGAAACAAACUUUUGGAAAUUGAUUCAUUUAAGAAUCUGUGGCCAGGCGUGGUGGCUCACGACUGUAAUCCCAGCACUUUGGGAGGCUGA